rnacentral:lncRNA from 1 species
AGUGGCCUUGGUAUCCGGUAGGUCAGCCAGGUGGCACCCACCAGCCGCUACACCGAGGUGGGAAGCUGAGGCACAUGUCCUAAGGCCUCAGGUACCAAGAGGGUGAUGCUGGAGGACCCAGUCUAAGGAUCACCCUAAUAUCAACGCCCUGCCCGGCAUAAAUGCGACAGGUGAAUCCCAGAGCCCACUUCACGGAGGUCCUGGCUUCAACAGCAAGAAAGACAUGAUACAACGCAGCUGGAGAUGAGAGGAAUCUGGGGUCUCACCCUAAGUCUUUCCACAUAGGAAUUUGUACAAUCACAGGGAAGGGGCAUGUCGUCCUUAUUCUUGAGGAGCACCAAGAGCCUGGUGAGAGAGCUGGGCAGGAAGGGUGAGCUGGUGCCUGUGGACAGCCUCAGCAGCUCACAGCGCCUGCGCCCCUUCUGCCUGGUGAGGAAGAAGCACAAGAGCUACCUCUGGCCUUGGGACACACCCCUCAUCCCCACAGACUUCUCCCUCCUCGAUGUGCUGGAGCCUGGCUGUCCUGACCCAGGUAUCUCCAAGAGGCUGCUGGGGAGUGAAGUGGGACUCCCAAGGGAGGCAGAUGAGUGUGCCUAGACACUGAACAGCGUGCUGCUUGGUUCCCAGAAACCACUGGGUGAGGCUAGCAGGAGCAGGGCCCCCAUAGUCAUGUCACGUGGCUGGAUGUACAAGAGAGACGCUCUUUUGCCCCCUGUGUUCCUCCUUGUAAUAUAAGCAAAUCAUUAUUUGGUUUUUAUUAAUUGUCUAAGUUAAGAAUACAAAACAGUGGAUGUCA